GAUGAAGAACGUAGUGAAAUGCGAUACGUAAUGUGAAUUGCAGAAUUCAGUGAAUCAUCGAGUCUUUGAACGCACAUUGCGCCCCCUGGUAUUCCGGGGGGCAUGCCUGUCCGAGCGUCAUUGCUGCCCUCAAGCACGGCUUGUGUGUUGGGCCUCCGCCCCCCGGCUCCCGGGGGGCGGGCCCGAAAGGCAGCGGCGGCACCGCGUCCGGUCCUCGAGCGUAUGGGGCUUCGUCACCCGCUCCGUAGGCCCGGCCGGCGCCCGCCGGCGACCCCCCUCAAUCUUUCCAGGUUGACCUCGGAUCAGGUAGGGAUACCCGCUGAACUUAAGCAUAUCAUAAGCGGAGGA
rnacentral:misc_RNA from 1 species